rnacentral:sRNA from 1 species
UAACUCGUGAAGUGGACUCAUAAUACAU